AACGAACGCUGGCGGCGUGGAUAAGACAUGCAAGUCGAGCGGGAUACUUCGAGUAGCAAUAUUCGGAGUGUUCAGCGGCGCAAGGGUGCGUAACACGUGGGUAAUCUGCCGUGAAGCCUAGGAAUAACUCGCUGAAAGGCGAGCUAAUACCGGAUGUGAAGUUGGAAGGCAUCUUUUGGACUUCAAAGCUGGGGACCGCAAGGCCUGGCACUUCACGAUGAGCCCGCGGCCUAUCAGCUAGCUGGUGAGU
rnacentral:rRNA from 1 species